AACGAACGCUGGCGGCAUGCCUAACACAUGCAAGUCGAACGAGACCUUCGGGUCUAGUGGCGCACGGGUGCGUAACGCGUGGGAACCUGCCCUUAGGUUCGGAAUAACUCCCCGAAAGGGGUGCUAAUACCGGAUAAUGUCUUCGGACCAAAGAUUUAUCGCCUUUGGAUGGGCCCGCGUUGGAUUAGCUAGUUGGUAGGGUAAAAGCCUACCAAGGCGACGAUCCAUAGCUGGUCUGAGAGGAUGAUCAGCCACACUGGGACUGAGACACGGCCCAGACUCCUACGGGAAGCAGCAGUGGGGAAUAUUGGACAAUGGGCGGAAGCCUGAUCCAGCAAUGCCGCGUGAGUGAAGAAGGCCUUAGGGUUGUAAAGCUCUUUUACCCGGGAUGAUAAUGACAGUACCGGGAGAAUAAGCUCCGGCUAACUCCGUG
rnacentral:rRNA from 1 species